rnacentral:snRNA from 1 species
GUGUUUCUGUAGCACAUGUACUAAAAUUGGAACGAUACAGAGAUUAGCAUGGCUCCUAUGUAUGACAUGCAAAUUCACAAAAUGUUUCAUAUUUUA